rnacentral:rRNA from 1 species
GAUGAACGCUGGCGGCGUGCCUAAUACAUGCAAGUCGAGCGAACGGACGAGAAGCUUGCUUUUCUGAUGUUAGCGGCGGACGGGUGAGUAACACGUGGAUAACCUACCUAUAAGACUGGGAUAACUUCGGGAAACCGGAGCUAAUACCGGAUAAUAUUUUGAACCGCAUGGUUCAAAAGUGAAAGACGGUCUUGCUGUCACUUAUAGAUGGAUCCGCGCUGCAUUAGCUAGUUGGUAAGGUAACGGCUUACCAAGGCAACGAUGCAUAGCCGACCUGAGAGGGUGGUCGGCCACCCUGGAACUGAGACACGGUCCAGACUCCUACGGGAGGCAGCAGUAGGGAAUCUUCCGCAAUGGGCGAAAGCCUGACGGAGCAACGCCGCGUGAGUGAUGAAGGUCUUCGGAUCGUAAAACUCUGUUAUUAGGGAAGAACAUAUGUGUAAGUAACUGUGCACAUCUUGACGGUACCUAAUCAGAAAGCCACGGCUAACUACGUG